CUAAUUAUUCAUCAUUUUUCAUUAUUUCUUUUUUAAGAUCUUAGAAUUUAUCCCUAUAGGAAAAAAACCAUUUGAUGUUGAAAUAACAACCGAUAAUUCAUUUUUUGGUGCAGCACAUGCUAAUUAUACUGUUGUUAUGAUAUUUCAGGAUGCGUCAUGGGAUAUACUUGAAACUUAUACUAUAAGAGUAGAAAUACCAAUCGAUAUGUGUAAUGGAAGUAAUUGCUUUACUAAAAAUAGAGGAGACCUAUGCUUAAAUGUCGAACAAGAUUUUUUCUACUUCUGUACCCUCGAACAUAAUUCUUUGGUCUUCAUUGUAGACAAGGAUAAGAUUCAAAAUAAACAUGAUAAGAAACUGACAAUAAAAUUUAAAAACAUGACUAAUCCUAUGAAAAUUACAGAAAAAAUAAAAGAUUGGAAUUUUACUGUUAUUAUUCAAAAUUUAAAUUUUAAAAAAGGUGAAGAAAAAUUUUUUAAUGAAAUAAUAAAAUCCAUUGGUGGUGCCUGUACUCAUGAAUUGUUGAGUAAUUUUUAUAAUAGUUCGGAGUUUAUUGAUAUUUACAAAAAGCAACACCCUUCACCAGAAUUGACCGUUUUUUCCGUAGAAAUAAAAGAAAGUAGCAAAUUUAAAGACGAGAGGGGGGGACCCUUUGCUGUCCAAAUGAGCACAGAACUGCCAAAAAAUUUAAAAAAUCCUGAACAGUGCAUGAUAUAUGUAUCAAAUAUUCACAGAUUUGUAACAAUUUCAUCAGAAAGCAAAUAUAGAAUAAACUUAUAUUCUGGAAUUUUAUUUAUACCUACACCUAUAAUUAAUUGUAUAGGUCAACAUGAACGUACAUUAUCCGUAAAAUUGGAUUAUUUUAAAAAAAAAUCGUAGUAUAGAUUUUUUUUUAAUAACAAAUAAAACUAAUAAUAAUACGCGUUGGAAUAUUAGU
rnacentral:lncRNA from 1 species